rfam:Corynebacterium maris DSM 45190, complete genome.
CGCAGGCUGUCACGACGAUGUGCGACGGAAUCCGGGGCAGCCGAAGAAAAGAUUACGACGUCCAUCGCACCGCACCAACGAGCACGGGCUUGAAAACCCCGCCAGCUUGGGGCGGCCCGAACACGGGAGAGAACGCUGAGCGUUUCAAC